UGAGCUCAGGAGUUCUGGGCUAUUAUGCACUAUGCCAGUCAGGUCCCGCACUAAGUUCAGCGUCAAUAUGAUGACCUCCCAGGAGCGCAGGACUACCGGGUUGCCUAAGGAGGGGUGAACUGGCCCAGUAGGUCAAAACUCCUGUGCUGAUCAGUAGUGGGAUUGUGCCUGUGAAUAGCCACCGCACUCCAGCCUGGGCAACAU
rnacentral:SRP_RNA from 1 species